GACAGAUAGUAUAGUUGCCUAUACUCUGCUCAGGAGGCGUGAUUGAUUGAUACGAGACUAAAGCGAGAUCAAUCUAAAUGAUACAGAUGAAUGCCAUUCGAGAGAUCAGUAAAUAACUAGUAAUAGAGAAUUUCAUAAACAGAUAGCAGAAAUUAAACAUGCUCAUGAGUAAAUGCAAAAAGAAAUAAGAAUGGAACGAGAGAAAAUAAAACAUUAAAUCUGUGAGAAAAUCUAAGAAGAUGAUAAGAAUUCGGAUCGUAGUAGUUAAGAAACUACUCUGAUUAGGGCUCUUAAUCUUUUAACCAAACAGAUCCAUCGAUAAAGAACUAGAUCUUUACCAACAUCGGAUUAAAAAAAAAUCAAAGAUCAACUGUUAAGGAACGAAGGUCCUUGACAGCAUAUGAUUUGUAGAAUAAGAAAUCACUCCUUCUCCCAGCACGACAGAUGAAAAUUCUGGAGGAGACAGAUCUUCUCUUGACGGAAUAGGCUUGCGUGGGUAGAUGGUGGAGUCGAUCAGAGUCGCAGGAACACUGGAUCUUAAGUAAGAGUAGGAUAGAAAGUGGGCCUCACACCCUCCCCUUGUGGGGCGAUUUUGGGUCUCACACCUUCUCCCUCUCGGAGCGAUUGACACAAGUAUUUGUGAAGUUUGUAAAAUCAUUCAUUGUCUUCUUCAUGAAAGAUACAAGGAUUUAUAUAGGACUCUAAGGGUCCUGUUUGUUUAGGAAUCUCUUAUCUUUUACAAGAAAGAAAUCAACCAUCCACAAAAAAGUAAAGCAUUAUAAUCUACCAUGGGAAAGAAAUCAGCCUUCAACAAAAUAAGUAAGUAGUCAAGAACUCUUAAGGAAUUCUAAGGAAGAAAUGGAA
rnacentral:lncRNA from 1 species